rnacentral:tRNA from 1 species
GCCCUCGUAGCCCAACUGGCAGAGGCAGGCGACUUAAAAUCGCUGGAGUGCGGGUUCGAGUCCCGUCGGGGGCA